rnacentral:tRNA from 1 species
ACCUGGCUGGCUCAGUUGGUAGAGCAUAUGGCUUUAGAUCUUGGGGGUCCUGAGUUUAAACCUCACGUUGGGUG